AUUGAACGCUGGCGGCAGGCCUAACACAUGCAAGUCGAGCGAGCGGCGGACGGGUGAGUGAUGUGUGGGAGACUGCCUGAUGGGGGGGGGUAACUACUGGAAACAGUGGCUAUUACCGCAUACGAUCAGAUGUGCCCCGAUGGGGUUAGCUAGAGGGUGGGGUAACGGGUCACCUAGGCGACGAUCCCUAGCUGGGCUGAGAGGAUGACCAGCCACACUGGAACUGAGACACGGUCCAGACUCCUACGGGAGGCAGCAGUGGGGAAUAUUGCACAAUGGGCGCAAGCCUGAUGCAGCCAUGCCGCGUGUGUGAAGAAGGCCUUCGGGUUGUAAAGCACUUUCAGCGGGGAGGCGUUACCCGCAGAAGAAGCACCGGCUAACUCCGUGCCAGCAGCCGCGGUAAUAC
rnacentral:rRNA from 1 species